UACGGAGGGGGCUAGCGUUGUUCGGAAUUACUGGGCGUAAAGCGCACGCAGGCGGUCUGCUAAGUUUGGAGUGACAGUUGGUGGCUUAACUGCCAAAGUGCUUCGAAAACUGACAGACUUGAGGGCUUCAGAGGGACACGGAAUUCCGGGUGGAGUGGUGAAAUGCGUAGAGAUCCGGAGGAACACCAAAGGCGAAGGCAGUGUCCUGGGGAGUACCUGACGCUCAGGUGCGAAAGCCAGGGGAGCGAACGGG
rnacentral:rRNA from 1 species